AUGGUGACGACCACGAAGAAGGGCGCGGCGGUGCUGGACCUGCAAAUCCCCGAUGACAUAAAGAAGUCGUGGCACGUCCUGCAACUGGAUGAUGAGAUCUAUGACGCGACCUUGAACCAGACCAACGUCGGGGCCAACAACAAUAAGUUCUUCAUCAUCCAAGCUCUAGAAUCUGACGAUGGCCGAAGCUUCCGGGUUUACUGUAGAUAUGGGAGAGUAGGCUCCCGAGGUCGGACCGAGCUACUCGGCCCCAUGCCACGGCACGAAGCGAUUCGUGCAUUUAAAUUCAAGUUUUGGCAGAAAACAAAUAAUGAAUGGUCCAAUCGCAAGAACUUCAGGUGUCACUCAAAGAAAUACGCCUGGCUUGAAAUGGACUAUGGUAGAGGUGACAAGGAAACAGGUAAGACUCAGAAGAAAUACUCCGUUGCCGAUCAGAUAAGAGAGACAAAGCUUGAGACUCGGACUGCACGUUUCAUAUCCGUGAUCUGCGAUAUUAGCAUGAUGAAGCAGCAAAUGAUGGAAAUCGGUUAUAAUGCUGAAAAACUUCCUCUUGGAAAGAUAAGCAAAUCUACAAUACGCAAGGGUUAUUCUGUUUUGAAGCGGAUCUCUAGCGCUCUUCCAAAGGCUGACCCGAUACAGCUGGAAGAAUUGACUGGGGAAUUCUACACCGUGAUUCCUCAUGACUUUGGUUUCAAAAAGAUGCGUGAAUUUAUCAUUGACACUCCCGAGAAACUGAAAGCUAAGCUGGAAAUGGUUGAAGCCCUUGGUGAGAUUGAGAUUGCGACCAGGCUUCUGGAAGACGACCAAAGCGAUCGGGACGAUCCUUUGUAUGCUCGAUACAAGCAGCUUCAUUGUGACUUUACACCUCUGGAAGUUGAUUCGGAAGAAUACUCCAUGAUAAAAACAUAUUUGACGAACACACGUGCCAAAAGACAUUCGGGUUAUACGGUCGACAUAGAGCAGAUAUUUAAGGUGACAAGGCAGGGUGAAACAGAGCGGUUUCAGAAGUUCAUCGGUGCAGGAAACAGGAUGCUUCUAUGGCAUGGCUCUCGGUUGACAAACUGGACCGGGAUAUUUUCUCGGGGUUUGCGAAUCGCUCCUCCUGAAGCGCCUAGCACCGGCUACAUGUUUGGGAAAGGGGUUUACUUUGCUGACAUGUUCUUCAAGAGUGCAAACUACUGCUGUCCUUCACAAGCAUCUAGAUCUGGAGUGCUGCUUCUAUGCGAGGUCUGUUUUGCCCAGCUAUCAAAUGUUCACUGUUAG
rnacentral:rRNA from 1 species